ensembl:lncRNA
GGCAGGUGCUCAGCUGAGAGUGGGAAAGACAGGAUCCGCUUGGCAGGGAGCGGGUGGGUUACCCAGGAGUGUGUGCAGAAACGCUCUCUCGCCUGCCUCCUCUCCCGGUUACCGACUACUUUCCCCUUCUUGAUGUGCACCCACUCAUUCAAUGUUGGUAACACUCCAAAGAGAGGGUGCUGGCUCCCUGUUCUGGAGGUGAGGACGCCAAGGCUCAGACGGGGUGAGGAACUCACACAGCCGCCCAGCUUUCUCUCAUACAGACGAGGAAGCUGAGGUGCAGAGAGCUCAAGGGACCUGCCCGAGGUUAGCACGUUGCAGAGCAGGAUUUCAAGGCCAUGGCUGUUGGACUCACAGCCUCAACUUUUAACUACAAUGUCAUGUCAUCUGGUAAAAUGUCUCCCCUGCCGACUCGGACUCCCUUACCUUCCAAGAAUGUGAGGAGGGUGGUGGGAGUGGGGGAUGGAAGGAGGAAGAAGGAGGGGAAAGGGAGAGAGGGCAGAGAAAAGAGGUGCUGGGAGCUCUGUGGGGUGAAACCUCAAGAACCCCAAGGGUCCUGCGCACGGCUGGGUACCUCUGCCAGACGUCCCGCCUCGGCUGUGGCAGGGCUGGCCGGUGGCUAGGAGUGCAGACUUUGGAGUCAGAUCUGGCCCCAAUCCCAGCUCCGCCACUUAGUAACUGAGUCACCUGGAGCAAGUCCCCUCAGUCUCUGACUGAGCCCAGUGUCCUCCUCUGGAGAACGGGCAUGCACAGGGCCAUUCUAUGGAAUGCAUGUGGGCUGUGUCCCGGGCGCUCUAGCAGAUGGCAAGAGGAUGCUCAGAAGUGCCUGUGAUGACGAUUUGCAUCUCCAACGGGGCCCAGAGCAGGGCCCCAGGACUGAGACACUUCCACUCUGUGAGCACGUCCACUCUGCGGCAGAAACCAAGGCGAGGACAGCACGAAGCAGGAAGGUGCUCCUGUCCCAGCCAGGCCUGCCUCUGCCACCUGAGGGACCUGAGAACGGGUGGAGGUGCCCUGAGGGCAGGUUGGUCCAGGCCAAGGCCCAGACAGGUAACAUCAUCCUUCAAGAGAAACGGGCAGACUCUGCCAAUGCCUAACUCUGAGCAGCGUCCCCAUCAAUUGCACAGGAGCGCCAGUGGGCUGAGGCCGUUCUCUUUGGAAAGCCUGGUUGGAGGUGGUCCAGGUUGCUAAGCCCUGCUGUCUGGCUCUUACCGAGAGAUUAUAGGGGUAUCAAAUGAGCCAGCACACUUUAAGCCUUUGGAGGCCAUGAAGCCGUGCUUUUAGGGACCAUACAGCAUUGAGGUGCCGGGCUGGGAAACCACAGCAUAUGAGGGCUGACCUCCCAUCACUUCCUGCAGGCCUGACCUUCAGCGAGAGAAGGCAGCCAGCUGAGGGGAGAAGGUUUUGUUAACCAGUUUCCCUGCUAGAGAAUGGCCCCUUAAGCCGUGUUCUGGUUACUCUCACUAAAUACCAACCGCCCGAACCUCACCACUUUCCCACAGCCAUUGGCUUUGCUCGUAAUUUGCACGCAGCUCAGGGGUUUGGGGAGGGCUCAUCUGGGUGUUUCUGGUUGGGAGGUCUCUCCUGCAUGCGGCUGAAGUCAGAAGAUGACGGGCUGAAACAGCUGAGGUGGGGGCAGAAGCUGCCGUUGGGGGUGGGGGUGGGUCUGGGCCUGCUGGGGGCUAACUGAACGUCCUCUCUCCUCAUGAAGUCUCAGGUCCUCUCCACGUGGUCUCUCCACAGGGCUGGAUCAGGCUUCCGCACAGCGUGGCGGCCUGGACUGCUCACACAGUGGCUGCAGCCAUCAAGAACAGGCAGCCCAGGAAGAAAGUAGCCUCUGCACCUCCUUUUUGAACCUGCCUGGGAAAUCACCGUGGCCCUUGUCUUUUGGUUCUGUAACAAAAACCCGCUCAGAUGCAAGGGGUGGGGACACAGGCAGCGCUUGCUGAUGGGAGCAGUGACAAAGUCACCUUGUGACGUGCACUGGGAUGGGAGACGCUGUUGCGGCCAUCUUUGGGAAAUGCAGUUGUUCACAGGCUGCCAUAGCCCUCCCCUCCCUCGGGGUGGGCCACAUGCCAUCAUUCUCAAGGGAGGGGCCAGGCAGCCGCAGGAGGGAGUCGGGACCCAGGACCACUGGCGGGGCAUCAUCAAUUUCUUUUGAGUGGGGCGGGGGGCUAAAAGGGCUGGCUUUGGCCGAGCUCAUAAAAAUACUUGUUAACCUCCACAGAGGAGUUCCUCCAUGCCAGACGCGCUGCCUCGCGUACUUUACACUCCCUGUCUUGUUUAAGCAUCAGCCUGAGUCUGGGAGGAGAGUCCAUUAGCAUCCACACUUACAGAUGAGGAAACUGAGGCUUGCGGAGGCCAGGGGACAGACACAGUUGCCUUGUCUUUAUCUCUGAACAGUACAGGACCUCUACACAGCGCCUGCUUCUACGUGAGAUGGACUAUCAUGGAAACUACACAGAUGAGGAAAUGAGGCUCUGAGAGGUCAACGACCUGCCUGAGUCACAUAGCCAGCGAGUGGGAGCGUCAGCAACCGAACCCAGAAACACCGCUUCCCAGCCACCUGGCUACCCUCGUCCACCCCUUGCUGAAGCCUCUGAGCCCUGUUCGUGUCUGCUCAGUGACGAGCCUGUCAGUGGCCCAAGGUGAUCCUGGAGAGAGCCGCUCCUCAGUGCCGGGCGAGUGGGCUGUGGGAACCUAAAACCCAUCGUGUUCAUUACAAAUGAAAAGCAGAUGUGACUUUAAAUGUUGUGCUGCGGCUUCCAGUGCCGGGUGGAGCAGGGCCCCUGUGAGCAGUCACACCAAACAAAACGUAUUAUUUAGGAGUGAUUGGAAGGCAGACGAGCUGAAAACAUUGUGCACGGAAGGGCCACCGCUGUCUGCUCCUGAGCAUCGAAAUCGCUCUCCCUGGGCUCGGCCGCGGAUUCACAUUUAGGGCAAUUUCCCUCAUGGUAGCACAGCUCCGUGAGCGGGCUCGGGCUUGUGGACAAGCGAUUUCCCAGCCGAAUGACUUGCAGCCCCGGCACAGAGCGCGAGGCUUGGUGGGGCUGGCUCCCCCGGGUCUGCCCCGAUGCUGCCCGUGGCGACCUUGUCUCAGAAGCACUUCCUCAGCACUUGAAACUCAUCCCCCUAGUUUCUGUUGGGAUGAGAAGGGUGGGCGGAGCCUUGACCCUAUAACGUUGGUUGAGCACUUACUCUCUGCACCAUAACCAGCAGG